AUGAUGUGCGGUUUCAGUACUACUAGCUGUGAGGAGGAGGAGGUUAGCCUUGAUGGCCAGGUGGUACCUCGGAAGGACACCUUUCGGUAUUUGGGGUCAAUGUUGCAGGAGGAUGGGGGUAUUGAUGAAGAUGUGAACCAUCGAAUCAAAGCCGGAUGGAUGAAGUGGCGCCAAGCUUCUGGCAUUCUCUGUGACAAGAGAGUGCCACAAAAGCUAAAAGGCAAGUUCUACAGGACGGCGGUUCGACCCGCAAUGUUGUAUGGCGCGGAGUGUUGGCCGACUAAAAGGCGACAUGUUCAACAGUUAGGUGUGGCGGAGAUGCGUAUGUUGAGAUGGAUGUGUGGCCACACGAGGAAGGAUCGAGUCCGGAAUGAUGAUAUAUGA
rnacentral:rRNA from 1 species